UACAGAGGGGGCAAGCGUUGUUCGGAAUUACUGGGCGUAAAGGGCGCGUAGGCGGCCCACUAAGUCGGACGUGAAAUCCCCUGGCUCAACCAGGGAACUGCGUCCGAUACUGAUUGGCUUGAAUCCGGGAGAGGGAUGUGGAAUUCCAGGUGUAGCGGUGAAAUGCGUAGAUAUCUGGAGGAACACCGGUGGCGAAGGCGGCAUCCUGGACCGGUAUUGACGCUGAGGCGCGAAAGCCAGGGGAGCAAACGGG
rnacentral:rRNA from 1 species